CCUACGGGUGGCUGCAGUCGAGAAUCUUCCGCAAUGGACGAAAGUCUGACGGAGCGACGCCGCGUGGAGGAUGAAGUGCUUCGGUAUGUAAACUCCUUUUGCCAGGGAAAAAGUCUAUUGAUGGUACCUGGAGAAUAAGAAGUUGCUAAACUCGUGCCAGCAGCAGCGGUAAUACGAGUGCUUCGAGCGUUAUCCGGAAUCAUUGGGCGUAAAGGGUGUGUAGGCGGCUAUGUUAGUCUCGUGUAAAAUUCCUCGGCUCAACCGGGGGCUCGCACGAGAAACGGCAUGGCUCCGAGGACGGAAGGGGUCACUGGAACUCAUGGUGUAGCGGUGAAAUGCGUUGAUAUCAUGGGGAACACCGAAAGCGAAGGCAAGUGACUGGUCCGCUCCUGACGCUGAAACACGAAAGCGUGGGUCGCGAAUGGGAUUAGAUACCCGAGUAGUC
rnacentral:rRNA from 1 species